rnacentral:sRNA from 1 species
UUGAAGAAGACGAAGAAGAAGAAGAAGAAUGU